GGCUCAGAUUGAACGCUGGCGGCAUGGCUAAAGCAUGCAAGUCGAACGCUCCCCUCCGGGGGAGAGUGGCGAACGGGCGAGUAACGCGUUCCUAACGUGCCCCAAGGCAGGGGAUAGCUGGGGGAAACCCCAGGUAAUACCCGAUAACCCGAUGAGUCGCAUGGCUCGUCGGAAAAGUUCCGGCGCCUUGGGAUCGGGGAACGUCCUAUCAGGUUGUUGGUGAGGUAAUGGCUCACCAAGCCAAAGACGGGUAGCGGGUGUGAGAGCACGACCCGCCGCAUCGGGACUGAGACACUGCCCGGACUCCUACGGGAGGCUGCAGCAACGAAUCUUCCGCAAUGGACGAAAGUCUGACGGAGCAAUGCCGUGUGCGGGCUAAGCCCUAUGGGGUGUAAACCGCUGUCAGGGGAAAGAAAUUCUGAUCUACCCCAGAGGAAGGGCCGGCUAACUUCGUGCCAGCAGCCGCGGUAAUACGAAGGGCCCGAGCGUUAAUCGGAAUCACUGGGCUUAAAGAGCGUGUAGGCGGACGUGUAAGUGCUUUGUGAAAUCCCACAGCUCAACUGUGGAACUGCUCGGCAAACUACACGUCUUGAGGUCGGUAGGGGUCACUGGAACUGUAGGUGGAGCGGUGAAAUGCGUAGAUAUCUACAGGAACGCCAAUGGUGAAGACAGGUGACUGGGCCGGUCCUGACGCUGAGACGCGAAAGCGUGGGGAGCAAACGGGAUUAGAUACCCCGGUAGUCCACGCCGUAAACGAUGUGCACUGGGUCGCGAAGGUUCUCACACCGGCGCGGCCGAAGCUAAAGUAUUAAGUGCACCGCCUGGGGAGUACGGUCGCAAGGCUAAAACUCAAAGGAAUUGACGGGGGCUCACACAAGCGGUGGAACAUGUGGCUUAAUUCGAAGCAACGCGAAGAACCUUAUCCUAGGCUUGACAUGCUCGGAUUAUCUCCAUGAAAGUGGAGUACGCUCUUUGAGUGGAACGAGCACAGGUGCUGCAUGGCUGUCGUCAGCUCGUGCUGUGAAGUGUCGGGUUAAGUCCCUUAACGAGCGAAACCCCUGUCGCUAGUUGCCAGCAAUUCGGUUGGGGACUCUAGCGAGACUGCCGGUGUCAAACCGGAGGAAGGUGGGGACGACGUCAAGUCAUCAUGGCCUUUAUGCCUAGGGCUGCACACGCGUUACAAUGGCGAGUACAGAGGGCCGCAAUACCGCAAGGUGGAGCAAAUCCCAAAAAGCUCGCCCCAGUUCAGAUCGGGGUCUGCAACUCGACCCCGUGAAGGUGGAAUCGCUAGUAAUCGCGUAUCAGCUCGACGCGGUGAUACGUUCCUGAGCAUUGUACACACCGCCCGUCAAGUCAUGGAAGCUGGGAGCACCCGAAGUCG
rnacentral:rRNA from 1 species